rnacentral:misc_RNA from 1 species
AACGCAUAUUGCGCUCGAGGCUUCGGCCAAGAGCAUGUCUGCCUCAGCGUCGCUUUAAACCCUCACCCAACUAACCUUGUAUUAACAAGGUUGUUGAACAAUAAGGUGGAACUGGCUUUCCCAGUGCAUUCGGUUGCUGCUGGGUCGGCUGAAGAGCAGAGGUUGAUGCAUGGUCCCGUUAAGGGCCUCGGCUGGGUAGGCAACUCGUUGCUAAUGCUUUAGCCGUUGGCUUGGGACUGCGCCUGUCGGCCCGAACCAGGAAUUUCCGGAGUCUAACAACUCCCGAAACCCUUCUGCUUUCGACCUGAGCUCAGGCAAGAACACCCGCUGAACUUAA